GCAGCCCAGCCCUGACCCUGCAGCUCUGGGAGAGGAGCCCAGCCCCAGAAUUCCCAGGUGUUUCUAUUCGGCCAUCAGCACUAAACACACAGAACACACCAUGGAGUUUGUGCUGAGCUGGGUUUUCCUUGUUGCUCUUUUGAAAGGUGUCCAGGGUGAGGUGCAGCUGGUGGAGUCUGGGGGCGGUUUGGUAAAGCCUGGGGGGUCUCUGAGACUCUCCUGCGCAGCCUCCGGAUUCACCUUCAGUGACUACUACAUGCACUGGGUCCGCCAGGCUCCAGGGAAGGGGCUGGAGUGGGUCUCAGCUAUUAAUAGUGGUGGGGGUAGCACAUGGUACGCAGACUCCGUGAAGGGCAGAUUCACCAUCUCCAGAGAGAACGCCAAAAAGACGCUAUAUCUUCAAAUGGACAGCCUGAGAGCCGAGGACACGGCUGUGUAUUACUGUGCGAGAGACACAGUGAGGGGAAGUCAGUGUGAGCCCAGACACAAACCUCCCUGA